AACGCUGGCGGCAGGCCUAACCCAUGCAAGUCGAACGAACUCUUCGGAGUUAGUGGCGGACGGGUGAGUAACACGUGGGAACGUGCCUUUUGGUUCGGAAUAACUCAGGGAAACUUGUGCUAAUACCGAAUGUGCCCUUCGGGGGAAAGAUUUAUCGCCAUUAGAGCGGCCCGCGUCUGAUUAGCUAGUUGGUGAGGUAACGGCUCACCAAGGCGACGAUCAGUAGCUGGUCUGAGAGGAUGACCAGCCACACUGGGACUGAGACACGGCCCAGACUCCUACGGGAGGCAGCAGUGGGGAAUCUUGCGCAAUGGGCGAAAGCCUGACGCAGCCAUGCCGCGUGAAUGAUGAAGGUCUUAGGAUUGUAAAAUUCUUUCACCGGGGACGAUAAUGACGGUACCCGGAGAAGAAGCCCCGGCUAACUUCGUG
rnacentral:rRNA from 1 species